rnacentral:rRNA from 1 species
UACGGAGGAUCCGAGCGUUAUCCGGAUUUAUUGGGUUUAAAGGGUGCGUAGGUGGAUUGGUAAGUCAGUGGUGAAAGUUUGCAGCUUAACUGUAAAAUUGCCGUUGAAACUGCCGGUCUUGAGUGCAAAUGAGGUAGGCGGAAUGCGCCGUGUAGCGGUGAAAUGCUUAGAUAUGACGCAGAACUCCGAUUGCGAAGGCAGCUUACUGGGAUGCAACUGACGCUGAGGCACGAAAGCGUGGGUAUCAAACAGGAUUAGAUA